AACGAACGCUGGCGGCAGGCCUAACACAUGCAAGUCGAACGCUCCGCAAGGGGAGUGGCAGACGGGUGAGUAACACGUGGGAAUCUACCUAGUGGUACGGAACAACCAAGAGAAGUUUUGGCUAAUACCGUAUACGCCCAUAGGGGGAAAGGUUUAUCGCCAUUAGAUGAGCCCGCGUCGGAUUAGGUAGUUGGGGAGGUAAUGGCUCAUCAAGCCUACGAUCCGUAGCUGGGCUGAGAGGAUGAUCGGCCACAUUGGGAGUGAGACACGGCCAUAACUCCUACGGGGGGCAGCAGUGGGGAAUAAUGGACAAUGGGCGAAGGCCUGAUCCGGCCAUGCCGCGUGAGUGAUGAAGGCCCUAGGGUUGUAAAGCUCUUUCGGCGGGGAAGAUAACGACUGUACCCGCAGAAGAAGCCCCGGCUAACUUCGUGCCAGCCGCCGCGGUAAAAC
rnacentral:rRNA from 1 species